UCAGGCACUGCCCCGUCCCUCCUGCCCCAUACACCAUCCCGCCCUUCAUCUUCUGAGGUACCGCCCUGCCCCUCCCGCCUCAGGGACCACUCUUCGCGCCUCAGGGACCGCCCCUCCCUCCUCAGAGACCGCCCUUCCCGCCUCAGGGAAGCCCGCCCGGUGAAGCUCGGGUGUGGGGAAGAGCAGGUUGCCAGUCCUGUCAAACCGUGUCGGUCUUGUCCUGUGAGCUGUACUCGGACUUGUGUGGGAGUAAACAUCCACGAGUUAAUCCUGAUACGGUUUAUUGGUGAGCAGGUCAUGCCCUGAAAGAAACCAAGAGAUCAUGUGGGAAAUCCUGUCGUGAAGAAGUCUGGGAAAACUGAAGUUGUUUUAAGAUACACUCCUCUCCUUGAAGGAGAAUCUCAUGGAUGCUGCUACCAUGCAAUCUGUUCAACAUGAGGAUUCAACAUUGGAAGAUUACUUAGAAAUUUCCAAUUUCUGAACUUAGAGGAUAGACUUGUAGAUCAUUCAGCUGAACUGCACCGGUUACUUAGCUAACACAAGCCACAAAGCUUCAGUUCACUGGGAUCUGACCUACUCUGAAUAACAUGUUUUGAUCCAGCAUAAGCUAAGACAACUUGAAUAAGGCCAGAGGCUUUUCAAGGCAUCCAGAAGCAGCCCACAGGAAUUUUGAGAGUGGAGCUGAAUGAAGCCAUGGAGAUGAGUCAGAAUUUCAUGAACCUUCUGGAUGGGUGUGAGGAGCGAAAGCCAGGUUGCUGUUAACUAUAUCUUAAGGAAACAUCUCUAAGUGAAUUGCAUUUUCUGAAGUCUGACUAAGGACAAAGCAUCAUCUUACUGGGAACUUGUUUAACCUGCCAAAAACCCUUCUGCACUCUGACUGCAAACCGCUCUGCAGUCCAGGCUUGUCAUGCAAACGCCGCACGACUUCAGG